AUCAGAGCUUUGGAUCCACAGUAGGGUUUAACCAGCUCUGGGAGUGUUUUCAGGUUAUGCCAGUUCUGUCAGGGAACCGAGAGGGAUGGAUGGAAGGAUUGUUUAGGGGUUGAAUUUUUAUAAAUGUAGAGAUAAAUGUGCCGCACUUCACACCCUGAAGGCUUUGUGGGGUUUGGAUCUGCCUUCUGGGGUUCCAAGUGGAUUUGGAGCACGAGGGGAACCAGCACUCCUGAGCUGCACAGAAAUUCCCCACAGAAAUUCCCCACAGAAAUUCCCCACACAGAAAUUCCCCACACAGAAAUUCCCAAUUCUUCUCCUCCAGCAGCAAAAAUGCCCCAAAUGUCAAUUCUGCCAAGGAACCAAGAGGGAUGGAUGGAAGGAUUGGAUUGUUUAGGGGUUGAAUUUUUAUAAAUAUACAGAUAAAUGUGCUGCAUUUCACACCCUGAAGGCUUUGUGGGGUUUGGAUCUGCCUUCCAGGGAAUGCCAGUGCACAAAUGCAGGGCAGGAGGAGCCCAGGGGAUGAGAAAUGCCAGGCACAAAUAUUUGAGGGUGUUUCAAGAGGAUUUGGAGGGGAACCAGCCCUCCUGAGCUGCCCUUCCCCACACAGAAAUUCCCAAUUCUUUUCCCCCAGCAGCAAAAAUGCCCCAAAACCGAACCAUUCCUUGGGACCUCGGUGUCUCCAGGGUGAAGGGGUGGGAGAGCUGCAGAAUUCCUGUUUCCCAUAACGAGAAGUGACAGCUCCUAAUUAGAAUUCAUUAGCGGCAGCCCCGCGGAGAUGAUGGCACCGUUUUUCAGGAUGUGUUGCUGGAAUGAUUUUUCAUCUGACGAUGACAGCUUGGCUCGGUUGCAAAUGUCCUUUGAGUCAUUUGUUCUGAGCCUGAAAACCGAGCAGAUGAGAUCCCAGAACCUCAGCAAAGCCUGGGCAUGGCCAUGGUACAAGAGAAGGGGAAUGAGGAGCAAAAUGAGGCAGAAAUGAGAUUUUUUUGAGUUACAAGGUAAAAUUCAUCCUCUAGGUGAGCAUUCUGUAGAAACUGGAGCACAAGGAGAUCCACAAUUAUUGAAUGUCUGGAUAUUCUGGCAUUUAU
rnacentral:lncRNA from 1 species